CCGCCUGAGAAUCAUUUCGUCAAAGUUCUCCGGGAAGGAAGUUGGGACAAUUUCCUCCCGAACCUGUGGCUGGCGUAAAGGUAGAGAUGCGGUAAGAAUCUUGAUUCUGACCUUUUGGAAGCUGAUGGAAAAUCUCCGAUGAAGUUUCAAAGGAAAUGGUUAUUUAACGAGACCAAACAGGCGUACAUUUAAGGAGGCCGGCUACGACAAAUAGAGCAUAAAACCCUUUGAGGAAUGCCUGCAACUGGUAACCAACUCGACGUCUAAGAAGCCUUCGGAAGUUCGGAGAAAGAAGAUUCGGAACCUCAUUCAAACGAAGUUGAAUUGAAGGCAUGUGACCGAACCACAAAGACUGAUCCCAAAGGGGAAAUAAAGAGGUUAUGGAACCCAGUGCCAACUUACACGGGGAUGAUCUUAGAAACUCAGUACAAGUCAACAGUAUAAAUGCUAUGCAUCCCUGGAAGAAAUGAGAAGAAACUGAAAACUAAUUCUUCUUGUAUUAACAUCCUGCAUAUUUGAAGAUUCGUAGGUAUCGGAAAUUACUGUGAAUACAAUGAUGAAGACUGAACUUCAUACUAAAACAAUUGUAGUAAACAAAAUGCAGCAACCUCUAUUACUGAAGCAUAAUUGCAUAUAGUACUUCUUCAUAUAUGGAGACAGUUCUUUGAGAAUGGAUUUCAAGGAUACUGGGCAAAAUUUUUCACCAGGUGCCGAUUAUGUAGCGGUCUCUGUAUUUCAGUCAUGGAUUCUGUGUCAUAAGGUGAAAAGAAAAGAUAAAUUGGGCCUGAUAAUUCCUGCUAUUUGUGACAGUUUACCAUAGAAAACACUGAAUCGUAGCACUUGACCAAAACAAACAGUAUCAGGCAAGAGAAAAAGAAACGGUUCCAUACAAGGCAUGAAGGAAGACAAAGCUACUACUUACAUCAUAUAAAUUCAAGUCAACUGACUAGCCAAGAAAUUAUGAAAAGCAAAUUAUUGAUUGUAUCAGAUUGAGUGAUGCCCAAGUUAACAAAAAAAAUCAAAUUUUGGGUUGUGAUUUUUACACAGCCCACCACUAUUAUUCAAUGGCAUGCUACCACUACACAAGGAGCCAGUGAGCAAGGAAAUUAAGCAACAAAUCUCUUCAGUGCAGCAAAAUGUCCAGAAACUGCUCUUUACCCAGCAAAUCUACCAAGCAGUGCAAAAUAAAGCAGGUGGAUUCCACAUCCCAUACCAGCAAUUUCUGGGAUAUAUGUCCAACAGGAGAACAUUUAACAUUUCGCUCAACUGUUGCAAUCCUUGCUGCAGCCAUUACUAUGAUGCACUGGAGUUGAUGGUCCAUCAAAAUAGAGAUUGUCAUUAAGCUACCAAGUCAGUGCACAGAAUUGUACAGGAAAAAAAGGCUGACAUCCUUUCAGCUAUUCAACUUGGGUACACACACACAUCAGCUGGCCACCAAGAAAAGACAUUGGGUGACUUGCUAAAAUUGCACUAUUGGGUGACUUGCUAAAAUUGCACUAACAAGAGAUAUACUUACCAAUCAAUUUAUUACUAUUACAUCAUAAUUAAUGGGUCAUAAAGAAUCUUGCCCCAGUUUGGGCCAUCAACCUCAUUUGUUUCUUCAGACAUAUUGAUAAAGAACUACUGCCAGUAAGCCAUCAAACUUCAAAUCAAUCCCCACAAGUAGUGCAUAAAUGAAAGUCCAAAAUCCAGAUUACCUCCUCUUUGGCAGAAAUCUGAUGCUGCAUAUCAGUCAAUUAUGUACUCCAUGAAUAUACUUCUUCUCAACCUUGACAGGGUUUAGCUCAUCAAUUCAAGUCCUACACUCCGGUAAGAAUGUUACACCUACAGGA